AUUGAACGCUGGCGGCAGGCCUAACACAUGCAAGUCGAGCGGAGCGGCGGACGGGUGAGUAAUGCCUAGGAAUCUGCCUGGUAGUGGGGGAUCACGUCCGGAAACGGGCGCUAAUACCGCAUACUAUCAGAUGAGCCUAGGUCGGAUUAGCUAGUGGGUGGGGUAAAGGCCUACCAAGGCGACGAUCCGUAACUGGUCUGAGAGGAUGAACAGUCACACUGGAACUGAGAGACGGUCCGGACGACUACGCGAGGCAGCGUUGGUGAAUAAAAGACAAUGGGCGAAAGGCAAAUCCAGCCAUGCCGCGUGUGUGAAGAAGGUCUUCGGAUAGUAAAUCACUUUAAGUUGGGAGGCGUUACCAACAGAAUAAGCACCGGCUAACUUCGUGCCAGCAGCCGCGGUAAUGC
rnacentral:rRNA from 1 species